rnacentral:lncRNA from 1 species
UUGGAUUGAGUUGUUGGAUUCAGUGGUGGUGUUCGGCGGCGGUAAUUGUUUGGUUAACGGUGGUGGUGCUUGUUUCUUGCUGGGAACACAGCCUCCUCCUUUUCCCAUUGAGAGAGAAAAUUGGGAAUGUGAAAUGUGUAAAAAUGAAGAAUUUUUGGAACCGAAAGAAAAUGAAGAAUUCAAUUUUUAUUUAUUUUUUCUUCAGGAUUUCAGAAGUGAGAGUUCAGAGUUGGGUUUUUGAGAUGAACAAUGAUUAGUGACGUCAUCGUGUGGGGUUUUCAAAUGAAAAAAAAGGGUAAAAGUUCCUAACCGUGUGGGGUUUUGUCAAAAUUUUAAAUUUACUUUUGAGGAUAAAACUAUUUUCUACUUUUGUCAAUAUUUUUAUAUAUUUAUUUUUGUUAUGAAUAAUAUGUAAUGAAUGUCCAUUAUGUGGUAGGUUUUCUUGUCCCCUAGUGUGUCCUAUAAAUGACACUCUUAUUU